AAGAUUUUAAGUUAAUUAAAACUUUUAAUUUUCAAAAUUAAAUAUAAAAAUUUUUUUUUUAAAUCUUA